UUGAACGCUGGCGGCAUGCUUUACACAUGCAAGUCGGACGGCAGCGGGGGCUUCGGCCUGCCGGCGAGUGGCGAACGGGUGAGUAAUGCAUCGGAACGUACCCAGUCGUGGGGGAUAACUACGCGAAAGCGUAGCUAAUACCGCAUACGCCCUGAGGGGGAAAGCGGGGGACCUUCGGGCCUCGCGCGAUUGGAGCGGCUGAUGUCGGAUUAGCUAGUUGGUGGGGUAAAGGCCCACCAAGGCGACGAUCCGUAGCGGGUCUGAGAGGAUGAUCCGCCACUCUGGGACUGAGACACGGCCCAGACUCCUACGGGAGGCAGCAGUGGGGAAUUUUGGACAAUGGGCGCAAGCCUGAUCCAGCCAUGCCGCGUGAGUGAAGAAGGCCUUCGGGUUGUAAAGCUCUUUCGGCGGGGAAGAAAUCGCGCUUUCUAAUACAGAGCGUGGAUGACGGUACCCGAAUAAGAAGCACCGGCUAACUACGU
rnacentral:rRNA from 1 species